UUUCGGGUGCUUUUGUUUUGUUUUUUUUUGCAAUGCACUGGACAAUAACCUAGCCUGAUUUAUUGACGUUGUUUGCACCGUUUGAAUUUUUGUAACAAGGGCUAAAUUGGACUUUUGAAAAUGGAGCCUUUUGUUCACUUUAAGUUUUAAGGCAUCUAAAUUUAUGGACGGAAUGCUCUAUUGCGUCAUUGCUAUAAGUUGUGUAUUUGUGUGUACAGUACAUUUUCUUGUCUUUUUUGACAACUGACAUCCACUUUUGGCAUUGUUAUACACUUUGUUUUAUGUGCCAAGCCAAAAACACUCAAACAAGCCUUUAUUUCUCCAUUGCAAACACUUGAGUAUAAAAGGUCUUUGCUAUGCUGAUAUUAUCACCACCAACAUUUAAAACCACUGUGCAUACUUUUACAUCAUUAACAUGUUUUCUUGAGUUUUUUUUUUUAUUGGCUCUCUGCUUAAGAAGCCUUUUUGUAGAGAUUUAAAUGUAAAUAUGUUGUUCUGCAAACUGAGCUGACGAUCAAGUCCAGUUUUUGUGAUUGAAAAUAUCUUAAUAAAAACGAUGUAAAAAAU